rnacentral:tRNA from 10 species
GCAACGGGGAUUCGACUUCCCCUGGGGGUA